AGCCCAGUUUUGCACUAUUGGAUGAAACUUCCUCACUUGUUCAGAGGCUGCUGGACACCAAUUGCAAGAGCACAGCUGUGGGGACAUUCUAUGUAUCCACAUGUAUCCACAAAAGUAGUGCUUCUUUAAGAAAGGGCAAUGAGCUCCCCAUCCUCUUUAAGAAAGAGGCACUACUUUUGUGGAUACAUGUGGAUACGUGUGGUUAUUCCCUUAUUUGUUCAUUCCUGGAGAACCAUGGAGAUUAGUGCCUGUCAGGACUUAGUACACAGUUGUUGCAUCUUGAAAAUGGCUGGGAAAGAGCCUCGCCAGACCGGGGUAUUGGCCAGCUCUCGAAAAGGGGUGCUCAGGGGCAGUGCUGAUGAACGCUGUAAAGCAGAGCUGCCAUCCUGCUCUGGCUGUGAGGAAAGUGGACAUUCUUGGGGAAAAUGCUCAUACGGGAGGGUCUAUCAAUGCAGAUGUGAAAAUGAAAGCCGGCCUCUGACGUUUCAGGUAAAGACGCAGGAGAGGCGCACCACCUGGACCAUGCAUCAGCAGGCUACCCUCCCGCUCGGGAGGCAGGGGCCCUGGAUGGGGUGGGGGAAAAGGUGGGUGCCCACUUUCUCAGAGAGGGUGUCAGGCUGAGGAAGCCAGAGGUUUUGCAGAAGAGAAAUUUACCACUUUGGUAAACUUUCACUGCCCUCUGGGGUCCAGACACUGACACAAUUUGGAAGAGUUUGUCUUGUGGCAACCAUUGUACUUUGUGCACUAGCUCUGAGCUGUAUCUGGAGGACAGACUUGAAUGGUGUUCAUCUCUCACUAUUCACUCUUACUGUCUCAUUUGAGACUUUGCAAUCGCUGCCAAAGAAUUUUCUAUUGUCCAAGAUUCUGCCAGUGCUCUGAGCUGAUGAGCCAUGGAAACCCUGUAUGCUGGCCUCUGGAUUAGUCAGCUCAGAAUACCAUAACAAAUUUCCACAGACUGGGUGGCUAAAACAACAGGAAUUUGUGUUCUCACAGUGCUGUAGACUGGAACUCUGAAGGUGUUAGCAUGCUGGUGUUCUCUGCAACCUCUCUCCUUGGCUCAUAGACAGCCGUCUUCUCCCUGCGUCCUCAUGUGGUCUGUCCUCUGUGUGUGACUGUGUCUUAACCUCUUCUUACGAGAAUUCUGGUUGUAUUGGGUUUAAUGCCCACUCUCAUUACCUCAUUUUAACUUAAUUACUUCUCCAAAGACUCUCCAGAUACAGUACUACAUUCUGAGGUACUACGGGUUAAGUCUUCAACACAUGAAUUUUGGGGUAACACAAUUCAGUCCCUAACAACCUUCUCUGAAAAAAGCCUAGUUGUUGGUGUGGACAGUGGGGGAAGUCGAUGACAGAGGUGGUCAAGAGUCAGGACUCAUCCCUGCAAACCAUGAUAAGACCUUGAUAUUUUCAGUGGAAAAUAGACUACAGUGGACCAAAGUAUCAGCAGGAGCCCCAUUACAAGGGGACUGUGGAAGCCCAGGUGAGAAGCCAGUGUAUAUUGCACCAGGGUGCCAGCAGUGCAGGGGAUAAGAAGUGGCCCCAUUCAAAAUUUUUGUUGAAGGUACAGCGGCAACAGCAGUUGCUGAUGUAAGAAUAUGGAAUAUGAGGAUAUGUGAAGAAUAUUUUUAUUUUUUGCCCUGAACAACUGCAGAGACACUAGUGCCAUUUUCUGAAAUGACAACACCUGUAUGUGCACGUGGUACCUGCAAGCUGGGGAGAUGUACAAUGAAGAGUUUGGUUUUGGACACUAGGGAUGAGAUACCUGUGGGAGGUUCUAGUGGAUAUGUCAGGACACGGGUUCUGGAGUCUGGAGUUCAGCUGGGUGGUUGGAGCUGAAGAUAUAAAUGCAGGAAUCAUUCCGAAAUUGACAGCAUUUAGCACUAUAGAUUUGGAAAAGAUUACAUGGAGACUGAGUAUUCUAAGAGAAGAUUAAAAUUUCAAUAAUAUUGGGUGAUUGCCUGAGUGAAUUACAUGAAAUUUGAAUAAUAUUGGGUGAUUGCUUGAAUGAAUUACAUGGACUUUGGGGUUAAAAAUUUGAUAUUCAAAGGCAUUGUAGAGCCUGGAGAAAUUUUGACAGACUGUUUCUGAAAGCAGCUUAGGCUAAGACAGCUUUAAGUAGUUGUUAUUUGUUGUCUAAUUGUCUGCUCGUGCCUGUGGGAUGAACUGUAUACAUUAACUAAUCUUUCAAGGCUUUCAUCGCCGCACUACUCUGCACAGUCCCUAGCAAAGUCUCUCCUUGGGAAGCCAAUGGCAGGACUCUAAUUCCUAGAAUCCUUUGCAAAUUAACCCUUCCGGGUGAGGCUAAGUUAGAUCCUGGAAAUAGACCUACUGGAAGGCAGAGAAGAGGCUAUUUUUCCGGUUUUUCCAGUCUGUCUCUUUGUGUAACAGCCUCCUUUUGUCUUUAAGCAAGGAUACAGCAGGGAGGUCUUCAAGAACCUCCACUCUUUAACAAUGAGACUCCAUGUUUUCCUCACUGCUCUUUUUGCCAUCUUCCAGGUACUACCCGGCAUCACUAGGGCACUCCAUUUUGAAAGACCCUGCUACCUUAGAGGUGGGAUCUGUCUGAAGCGAGGAACACCGAAUUGUGAGCCUUUCAGAGGACCCUGCAGAGCUUUCACCGUUUGCUGUAAAAUAAGGAGAAGCUGAUGGAGAAGCCUGGCAAGGAACAUAGGCGCAGGAUCUGAAGCGUGGCUCCUUUAGUCCAAAUGAGAGCAAACAUUACUCAAGUCCACAUAACUGAUUAUUGUCAUUAGGACUGAUUAAAGAAAGAGAUGUUUCCCAUGAAGGGGUAAGCAUUAGGUAGGAGAAAAUUAUAAUUAAACUUGUAUUAUGUUUUAACGUU